GACGAACGCUGGCGGCGUGCUUAACACAUGCAAGUCGAACGAUGAACGCGGGAGCUUGCUCCUGCCGGAUUAGUGGCGAACGGGUGAGUAACACGUGAGCAAUCUGCCCUUGACUCUGGGAUAACGCCGAGAAAUUGGUGCUAAUACCGGAUAUGACCCCUGGCGGCAUCGCUGGGGGUGGAAAGUUUUUCGGUCAAGGAUGAGCUCGCGGCCUAUCAGCUAGUUGGUGAGGUAAUGGCUCACCAAGGCGACGACGGGUAGCCGGCCUGAGAGGGUGACCGGCCACACUGGGACUGAGACACGGACCAGACUCCUACGGAAGGCAGCAGUGAGGAAUAUUGGGCAAUGGGCGCAAGCCUGACCCAGCCAUGCCGCGUGCAGGAAGACGGUCCUAUGGAUUGUAAACUGCUUUUAUACGGGAAGAAACACUCCCUCGUGAGGGAGCUUGACGGUACCGUAAGAAUAAGGAUC
rnacentral:rRNA from 1 species